CCUCCCCUGCCUCUACUGGCCAGGCGCCGCACUGCUCCACAUUUGACAGAGGCACUGCCUCUGCACAGCACACGAUCUGUCCUCCCCUGCAGGCGAUGAGUGAUGUUCCCUCUCCCCGCCCCCUUCCUCAAUCCCUGCUUCAGCUCUGCAGUCUGUACAGCAAGUCCUCUCUCCUGCUCUGCACACAGCAUGUCCCGACUCGAGUCUCCCCUCCUGCUCUGAUCAGCAAGUUAGCCCUCCCUCUCUCCUACUCUGCACACAGCCUGUCCAGGGUCCCUCCCUCUCCUGCUCUGCAGAGCAAGUCCCCCCCCCCCCUCUGCUGCUCUGCACACAGCCUGUCCCGAGCCCUUCCUCCCUCCCUUCUUCUCUGCACAACCUAUCCCUCCCCCUCUCCUGCUCUGCACAGUUAGUCCACCCUCCCUCUCUCCUGCUCUACACACAGCCUGUCCCAAGUUUACCCCCCCCUCCUUCCCCCCCUACCCUCUCUCCUGCUGUGCACAGAAUGGUGUCCCCUGCAGGCAGAAGGUCCCAUUUCCUAGCCUGUAUUAAGGAGUCCCAGCCACCUCCUGCACUGCAUGGCCUGUACUUCCUGGGUCCUGGUCUGGAUGCUGCUGCAGCUGAUGUGUGAGGGAACACAGAGCCUCCUGCAAUGCUGCAAACAGAGAGGUGCUCCAGUCCGGGUACUCCAUGACGCCGUAGCCGGCGCACUGUGAUGACAUCAAGUUUGAACGGAACGGAGUGUGUCGGGACUUUGGCACCAUGGACUACAGAGACAGGGGUAUUUAGUUUCACAGACGUAUUCAUCGGUUGGCCGGGACAGUCACAUGACGCUUGAGUGCUUGCAAACUCUGAUCUGUACCGGGUAGCAGAGGACAAGCAAGGGGGCUACCUUUUUCCAAGAGAGAAAUCAAAAUUUGUGGAUGGAGUGGAGAUCCCGGUACACAUAAUUGGUGAUGCCGCCUACCCGUUACGACGAUGGCUCAUGAAGGGGUUCACCCAACAUGACCAGCUGAGCUCCAAUCAAAUUACUUAUACGCACACCCUGAGGUCAGCAAGAAUGGUGGUCGAAAAUGCCUUUGGACGAUUAAAAGGACGUUGGCGCUGUCUUAUGAAGCGCAAUGAUGUAGACAUUAAUAUCAUGCCUAACAUUGUUGCAGCAUGUUGUAUUCUGCAUAACCUAUGUGAGUUUCAGAGGGAGGAAUUCCUACCAGAGUGGACAGUGCAGGCCUCUGCUGCGUACCCUGCACUUGAUUGUGAGGCCUAUCUGGGCGACCAUUCUGGAAGUGCAGAACAGAUGAGGUCUGCUAUAAUGGCCAACCUUCCCUCAUUACUCCGUUAAUUUUUUUCAGUUUGUAUAUUCAGUAAAUUGUUGUUGCUACAAAAAAUAAACCUGUUUAGUUGACGUUCUGCUACUGUGUCGAUAACAAAUGUACAACAUCAAUAUCCAAUUUGAAAUGGAUGUAUCAUGCAUUUUGUUUGUAAGUAAAAAUAGGACAAGUCCAAAGAUUAACAAAAGAUCAGAGACCUUAGAAUUUUAAUUUGUAUAAAACUUUGGUAAAUAAAGUAGUGAAAUCUUUACAGUUAUAAAAGUCCAACCAGUAAUAGUGUAGGAAAAACACUCCUAUGAUUUUAAAACCAACUUUUUUUAAAAACAAUAACCAUUUAAGAUAAAUUACGAUAAACAGGAGAUUCUGUAGUUGUCUCCGUUUCAGAAGGUGAUUGGGUGUGUUGAGGUUGUGUAUGUCGAGGAUGGGUAUAGUGAGUUGGAGUUAGUGGAGGUGGGGUUUGUUGGGGUUGGUUAUGUCGAGGAUGGGUAUGGUGUGGCGUUGGUUGAGGUGGGGUAUGAUCAUAGUAGGGGGGUACAGGGUAAUAUUGGGUAUACGGUUGAGGGUAAUUUGGUGGCACUGUGUGCAGCCCUUCAAUGCAUUGGAACAUUCGGUCAAAUAUGGACAUUUGAAAUUCCUGCAUUUCUCUCUGACGUUCUCUUGCAUCCCUAUUAUAGGUUUCCUGCAUAGAGAUCAGCUGCGUCAUAAAUGUGUUGUUCAUGUCUUGCUCUGCCUGCAAAAAUCGCUCGAGACGUGCAUCUUCUCGAUCAGCCAUGGCAGCGUCCAUCUGCUCUAAUUUCUCCACCAGGACAGUGGUCAUAAUUCUUGCAGCUUGCUCCGUUUUGUGUGGGCGGCGCCUCCUUGGCGGAACAGUAUAUACUGCAGACACAAAUCAAAUAAUAUGUUAUUGGAAUUUGCAAAGAGCUUAUAUAAAAUAACAGUGUUGUUCGCAAACGUGUUUGUGGCCUCCUUCCACCUACACACUGCAUAUACUCUGCAACAUUUAUAAUUUUUAAUUGUAUGCAUUUAUUGUUAAGAUUUAAUGACGUUAAUGUUUAGAGUUGUUAGUUUGUGUUUAGUUUACGUUAAUUGUUAAUGUUAGUUAUUAUGCUUUUAGGAUUGUUGUACUUACUGUUUCCACGCAAAGGCUGCGUUUGUGCAAUUGGGGCCAUUUGACUUGGCCCAGCCUCUGUGUCUUCUGGCGCAUCAGUGGUUUCAGUCCUGCUGGUCUCCUGUACAACUGGGUCAGGCAUAGUGGUUGGCAUCGGUUGCGUAUCAUCCAGUACGAGUAGUGGAGAUGGUGGUGGUGGUGAUCGGGUGUCUGUGUCCUGUACGCUGCAGGUGGAAGCAGCACAGGCCUGUCUUGUUUCUGCUGCUGCUAUGCUGGAGGAUAAGCUAACCGGUGUUGCAAGUGCUGUGUGGCCAAAUAUGGUGGCACACUGCUCAUAAUAUUGCCACUCCAUACGGGCAGCACCACUUCUGUUUCUGUUGUGGUCGUGGACCUUAUGGAAAUUCCUUUUAAGGGCCUUUAGUUUAUUGAUUACCUGCUGGGAGGUACAGUGGAAUCCAGAGGCUGCAAGCAUCUUCGUUAUGUUUUUGUACGUGAUUGCAUCCUUAACAGUCCCUGUCAUUUGGUGGGUGAUUUCCGACUCCCCUCUUAUCCGUAACAGCUCCCUAACCUCAUCCUCACUCCAGUUUGCCAUAUUCUCCAAGCACUGUAGCAAUGUAGCACUGUGAAUGUAGUAUAAAUAAAAACACACUGUUUAAA